rnacentral:rRNA from 1 species
AUACGUAGGUGGCAAGCGUUAUCCGGAUUUAUUGGGCGUAAAGCGAGCGCAGGCGGUUUUUUAAGUCUGAUGUGAAAGCCCUCGGCUUAACCGAGGAAGCGCAUCGGAAACUGGGAAACUUGAGUGCAGAAGAGGACAGUGGAACUCCAUGUGUAGCGGUGAAAUGCGUAGAUAUAUGGAAGAACACCAGUGGCGAAGGCGGCUGUCUGGUCUGUAACUGACGCUGAGGCUCGAAAGCAUGGGUAGCGAACAGGAUUAGAUACCCUGGUAGUCCAUGCCGUAAACGAUGAAUGCUAGGUGUUGGAGGGUUUCCGCCCUUCAGUGCCGCAGCUAACGCAUUAAGCAUUCCGCCUGGGGAGUACGACCGCAAGGUUGAAACUCAAAGGAAUUGACGGGGGCCCGCACAAGCGGUGGAGCAUGUGGUUUAAUUCGAAGCAACGCGAAGAACCUUACCAGGUCUUGACAUCUUUUGAUCACCUGAGAGAUCAGGUUUCCCCUUCGGGGGCAAAAUGACAGGUGGUGCAUGGUUGUCGUCAGCUCGUGUCGUGAGAUGUUGGGUUAAGUCCCGCAACGAGCGCAACCCUUAUGACUAGUUGCCAGCAUUUAGUUGGGCACUCUAGUAAGACUGCCGGUGACAAACCGGAGGAAGGUGGGGAUGACGUCAAAUCAUCAUGCCCUUUAUGACCUGGGCUACACACGUGCUACAAUGGAUGGUACAACGAGUUGCGAGACCGCGAGGUCAAGCUAAUCUCUUAAAGCCAUUCUCAGUUCGGACUGUAGGCUGCAACUCGCCUACACGAAGUCGGAAUCGCUAGUAAUCGCGGAUCAGCACGCCGCGGUGAAUACGUUCCCGGGCCUUGUACACACCGCCCGUCACACCAUGAGAGUUUGUAACACCCGAAGCCGGUGGCGUAACCCUUUUAGGGAGCGAGCCGUCUAAGGUGGGACAAAUGAUUAGGGUG